rnacentral:tRNA from 1 species
AGUGUCAAGGGAUGGGAAUCGAACCCACGACCUUCCGCUUACCGGGCAGAUGCCAUGUCUAUUAGGCUAUAGGCUC